UACGGUGGGGGCAAGCGUUGUUCGGAAUUACUGGGCGUAAAGGGCUCGUAGGCGGCCAAUUAAGUCGGAUGUGAAAUCCCCAGGCUUAACCUGGGAACUGCAUCCGAUACUGGAUGGCUUGAAUUCGGGAGAGGGAUGCAGAAUUCCAGGUGUAGCGGUGAAAUGCGUAGAUAUCUGGAGGAAUACCGGUGGCGAAGGCGGCAUUCUGGACCGAGAUUGACGCUGAUGAGCGAAAGCUAGGGGAGCAAACGGG
rnacentral:rRNA from 1 species